rnacentral:rRNA from 1 species
AUUGAACGCUGGCGGCAUGCCUUACACAUGCAAGUCGAACGGCAGCGCGGGAGCAAUCCUGGCGGCGAGUGGCGAACGGGUGAGUAAUAUAUCGGAACGUGCCCAGUAGCGGGGGAUAACGCAGCGAAAGCUGUGCUAAUACCGCAUACGCACUACGGGGGAAAGAGGGGGAUCGCAAGACCUCUCACUAUUGGAGCGGCCGAUAUCAGAUUAGCUUGUUGGCGGGGUAAAAGCCCACCAAGGCGACGAUCUGUAGCUGGUUUGCGAGAACGACCAGCCACACUGGGACUGAGACACGGCCCAGACUCCUACGGGAGGCAGCAGUGGGGAAUUUUGGACAAUGGGCGCAAGCCUGAUCCAGCCAUGCCGCGUGCGGGAAGAAAGCCUUCGGGUUGUAAACCGCUUUUGUUCGGGAAGAAACUGACUGGGCUAAUACCCUGGUCGGAUGACGGUACCGGAAGAAUAAGCACCGGCUAACUACGUGCCAGCCGCCGCAGUAA